UUAUACGCAGUGAUGAGAGAGGGAUGAUGCAAAAUGACCGAGUUACGUGGAACUUCCGACCACUAAGGUACACUCGACAGUCUCUUGGAGUAGAUUUACAUGUAAAGCACGAUACUUGGACUUCCUGACCAUACAUAUGCGAAUGACUGUUCUGAUAGUGACACGAUUAUUUACGUACAAACAAAAUACUACUCUUGGAUGCUUGAAAUGGAAAGAAUUUCAUCAAACAAAAAGAGUUCAGAUAUCAAUAAAAGCGAUUACGAUAAUGGUAACAAUCAUAAUACUGAGGUAAUACAUUAGUCAUAUAUGUAUAUUCUUGAACUGAAAGCCGCUCAAUGAUAAUAGAAGAGAAACUAAUUACUCAUUCCUCUGUUUAUAUACUACAUGGAGGAAUUGUGGACUGAGGACUUGAGGAACGUGCACUGUGUUUUAUAACAAAGAGAAAUGAGAACCACUUUAGGCUCUCGUACGUUCGUCGCUCGCUGCUGACUCGGCUGCACCGCAUCAACGAUAUUUUCUACUCAUGCAUAUCAAACUUGUCUAUUUCGACUGGCAUUUGCCGGUCAUGCCAGAUGUACACGGAAGUGACGCCAGGUCGCGUGGUACUUUGUUUUUGGGAAUAGAUGCGCGCGCAGCACGCCGCCGGCCACGUAUAAACAUCACGCGAGAGAGUCGGUUCCGUUGAUAUAUCAGUGUACGUAUUUAUAUACAUUCAGACACAGGCGCAGCCAGUAAAGUGGCGUCCAUGAUGGCGUUGCGAGCUUGUGCGCAAUACGUGUGCACCCGGCAUACAUAUGUAUGUACGCUGUGUGCCAUGGAUACAAGAAGCUUUUUCCAAGCAUACACGAAAACGUGCGAAUUUCUCAUAGGAGCAUUAUCCAGUUUACACUGGCGUUCAAUGUGAAUUAUGUCGUAGAUAUCAUUAUUGCCAGGAAAAUCCUAUAACUGUUAUGCUAUACGGUUAAUAACCCGUCUAGCAACCUAACCGAACAGAUUAACUAGGAUGGCUGCGCUUUUACGGUAGAACGAUAAUUUGAAGAAGACGAUUUAACUGGGUAAAUAUUUCAAACUGGAAUACGGGUAUACUUUUCCAGUACAGCUAGUCUUCAGGACACCUGAGACCUUGACCAUGACCGUAAUGAGAUAAGUAUUGUAUUCCGAUUGUGUGGGUCAUGACGGCGCUACUUUAAUUACAAAUAUUUCUUAUUACUUUUAUGACAAACUUUUCACAAUUCAUUAUAUUCGAUCAAGCACUCCGUCCAUGAUUAUCGAUUCUUUCUUACAUGCCCGAUCGACUAAAGGUCGUUUUUUAUUCACUUACUAUAUCAAACUGUUGAACAUAAAAUAUGUCUAGGAAUUUGAUGCUCCUAGAAUUCACAUAUAGCCAUAAGAACCAAAAGACGUUCUUGUUCGAACCUGCAUGUAACGGAAUACAGGAGGUCACCCGACUUACCGACCGAGUUUGUAUAACCGAUACAAGAAGCUGGAACUGAGAAUUUGUUACGGACACCCAGUAUCGAGAUCCAUGCCAGCUCUGCUUCGAAGGCACGCAUGACCCGACCGGUUUGACCAAUGAGAAGGCAUUUUAAAUACGCCUAUAGUCCAUUCGAUUAUACUCGCUGGUUAUAGUUGACGAUAUUGUAUUACGACGCGUUUUAUGUGGUUUCAGACUUCAAGAGGCCACGACCAUAAACGGUCUGAUUUUAUUCUCCAGCAAGACCAUCCGCGUAAGUCAGAUGCCAGCUGCAGAAUAGAAUUUACCUAUUUAGCAAUCGUACGAAAGACUAUGAAAAAUUCGCAAACGAAACUUAAACAGGUAGGUAGUGUCACACGUGUGUCACACACACGUUUUGAAUUCCUGAAUCGACCAUUAGAAUUCAAUGCAUUGGACAUCCAGAGGGACUCCACCACGGUUAUGGCGAGAAAGUUCAGACCUGCGGCCAUUUCUUUAUCGAUCAAUACACUGGUCCAUUCAAGAGUUCCUCCGACUGCCUAUCACACUUAAAAGAGAGCGACGUAGAUAACAGGAAAGAAAGUAAUCAACGAUAAGAUUUAAUUAUUCUUCUUACGUAUCUUCUCUCUCUGGCCUUCUUUUCUCUCUCUUCAUCUUCUAAAACAAAACCUUCAGAAUUCAAGAUCGCCUUCGAUAGAUUAGAAGAAAAAAUGUGAUUUCUACCAGUGCGAAUCAGCGAGAUACCUUUCGUCACACAGAGACGUAGGUUUCACGAGAUUUGCAAUACACCAGUCAUCGAUGUCUUGAUAAAGAGCCACAAGGAACUCCAUUGUACCGGGUGCUCGGAGGAUUUAUUAUUCACAGUACAUAAAAGUCAGGACACACCGUCAUUCCCCAAGUAUUCCAGACUCUGGACUGACAUUCCAUGAAAAAGAAUGGCAUGCAACUGAAGAAACAAGCGCCAAUUAAAUUAAAAUGCUUUGCUCGGUGAGCCACGAGCUGUACUGAUAAUAUUAUUUUAAAUUUCCAGCCACAAAGAUAUCUAAUUACUAAUCGCAUAAUAUCGUCGUGUGCGAUAAAAAUGAUUUAAGAACAGACAUAAAUAUCCACGUCUAUCUAAUACUCGUGAUAAUGUAGUUUGCAAAUUAGGUCAUCCUCUUGUUUCAUACUUAGUUGCUAUUUAGUUCUCAAUAUCUUUAAUCUUCUCUCUCGAUAUCUCUUUCUACAAAUCCAUUACCCCUUCUCUCCUGACCUCUUGGUCACUAUCGCUUCUCUCAGGCUCCACACCCACGCCAGAGAAGCCCUUCCCUGAACUCCUCUGGGAGCUCGUGGCGUCCUUGAAGGUAUCCUGGCGAAAGUACAUUUUGAAUUUCCCACGGUGCGUGUAUACGACCGAUCGACAGUAACGAUUGGAGCUGAAUGAAUAAUACACGUGCUCACGCCAUUCAGUACACUUGUGCACGAAUGACAAUGAAGCUACAGUUAAACAAUUCAAUGUAUGAUUAGAAGUCACAGCAUUUGAUUACGGUCUUUACAUUGAGAUUGCUAAAGACAAAUGUCCCUGUGUCAUGACAGGCGAACCGUCGGGAGGUAAAAGAAAAUCGGGGAAGUAUUUAUAUAUAUAGAAUGGGCGGUAUUGGUUUUUAUCAAUUACAGUAGAGUCCGGAUUAUUCGAGCUCGCAUCCGAUUCGCGUGAAUGCGUGUUACGCGAGCUUGUGAAGAUAUGCAUAGACAUGUGCGACGUGUUCAAAGUGGCACGUUCGUAGUAGAUGCUGUUAGUAGUAUCUAGUUACAUAAAAUGCGCUUUUAUUUACUAACAAAAUUGAGUCUGUAUUAUUUUAAUUUUUUUAAUCCGAACUAGGGAUGCUUCAAAACAACUUGGAUAAUCGGGGUUCUAUUGUAUAUUGAAAAAAUAGAUUGAAUAUUUCAGUUUAACUCGGUCGAUAAAGUCACGGUCUAUAAUUUUUUUUAAUAUUAAUAAAAUGCUAUGUACUUGUCUGUCGGUAAAGAAGUAAAGGGUGCGUAAGGGAUUUUUGAGAGAAAUUUUCCGGCUGACAGCAGGUUAAGGGAAUUUAAAAGGCAGCACGAUGCGUAGUACGCGCAGACCACUCGCUCGUCCCUAAUAACAGCACGAACCGGUUUUGCGUGUCUAUAGGUGAAUAUAUGUAUAUCUGUACGGUAAGAGUAGUCGGACAUGGCAGCCAGUGGCAGGGAAGCGGCGCCUACGUAUCACGAGCAGUACGGACGAAGGAGGUUACGUUUAAUAUUUUUGGCUAGGCAUAAAACGAGGCGAAUUUUGUAACGAGGAAAAUUGAGCAACCAAACAUUUCUUCUGGUAGUUUAAAAUGAUCCACUGUUCUUGGAUAAGAGAGAGAGAGAGAGAGAGAGAGGGGGGAAUAGUAUGCUUCUAUAGGUUAGGUUCACUC